GAUGAACGCUGGCGGCGUGCUUAACACAUGCAAGUCGAACGGUGAAGGCGGAGCUUGCUCUGCUGGAUCAGUGGCGAACGGGUGAGUAACACGUGAGCAAUCUGCCCCUGACUCUGGGAUAAGCGCUGGAAACGGCGUCUAAUACUGGAUACGAGCUGCGAAGGCAUCUUGAGCAGCUGGAAAGAAUUUCGGUCAGGGAUGAGCUCGCGGCCUAUCAGCUUGUUGGUGAGGUAAUGGCUCACCAAGGCGUCGACGGGUAGCCGGCCUGAGAGGGUGACCGGCCACACUGGGACUGAGACACGGCCCAGACUCCUACGGGAGGCAGCAGUGGGGAAUAUUGCGCAAUGGGCGAAAGCCUGAUGCAGCAACGCCGCGUGAGGGACGACGGCCUUCGGGUUGUAAACCUCUUUUAGCAGGGAAGAAGCGAAAGUGACGGUACCUGCAGAAAAAGCGCCGGCUAACUACGU
rnacentral:rRNA from 1 species